rnacentral:rRNA from 1 species
UACGUAGGGGGCAAGCGUUGUCCGGAAUCAUUGGGCGUAAAGCGCGCGUAGGCGGCCCGGUAAGUCCGUUGUGAAAGUCAAAGGCUCAACCUUUGAACGCCGAUGGAUACUGCUGGGCUAGAGUCCGGAAGAGGCGAGUGGAAUUCCUGGUGUAGCGGUGGAAUGCGCAGAUAUCAGGAGGAACACCAAUAGCGAAGGCAGCUCGCUGGGACGGUACUGACGCUGAGGCGCGAAAGCGUGGGGAGCGAACAGG